UCACGCCCACAGACGGAGAUGGGUGUUGUGAGUGGUGGUGGGCUACACAGACUGUGUGGUGUGAGCUUUUUGCUGGGAGGAGCUAGGUGAGGGUCCUGAACAUCUGACUGGGCAGCUGGUGUCCCUCAAGAAGUGGUUGCUGGAGGGUCAGGUGGACAGCCUCUCAGUGACUCUGGGGCCGCUGGGUGUUCCUGAACUGAUGGUGUCUUAGCCAGGCUGUGCUUAUGCAAUUCUAACGUGUAUGUGGAAAAAGGACACAGGGUCCCCUCCUGCCUCUGAAGGGGUCAUGGAUGGCAGUAGGGAGACCCUAGCUGCCCGAGAUGUGGUACUGCACCAGACAUCUGGCCAUAUCCACAACAAGAAUAUCUCCACUCACCUAACUGGCAACAACAAACAAGGCCAUGGCACUGAGAGUAGUGGCUCUGGCAUCUUUGCCGUGAGCACACUGGAUGGGAUGCUGAAGCUCAUGGAGGAAGCAGACAAGCUGUUGUGGUCAGCGCAGGUGGAUCACCAGCUCUUCGCCCUGGAGAAAUUGGGAUGUCAACGGCAAUGGGCAUGAGGAGGUAGUUCCAUGUGCCUGCGAUGGACAGACAUAUAUUAUUGAUCACAAUCACACCGUCGUCCGCUUCUAAGUGGAUGAAAAUAUCCGUGCCUUCUAUGCAGGCCUGUAUGCCUGCCCAGGGAUGCAACAGCUCCUGCCUCGUAUAUGUCACUUUCAACCAGAAGAUCUAUGUGUACUGGGAGGUGCAGUUGGAGUGGAUGGAGUCUACCAAUCUGCUGAAUGACUGGAGACCAAGCCUGAGUACCAUAGCCUGCUGCAGGAGCUGGGCAUGGAUCCUGACAACCUCCCUGUGGCUCAUGCCCUGCUUCACCAAACACUCUACCAUCCGACCAACCACCACAG
rnacentral:lncRNA from 1 species